UUUUUUUUUUAAACAUAAACUAGAUAUAUAUUUAUUAAGCACCUACAAAAAAGUUUACAAAGGUAGUGUCAUAUUGCACCACAUGAAGCCAAGAAAAAAAAAAACUUCAGAUGACGAAGAAAACAACCAGCGAGUCUGAUGGCGGGUCAGGUGAGAAAUCCGGUGCACAACCACAGCAGCAGUUUUCAGGGAACUGAUGGCGGACCAGGUGAGAAAUCCGGUGCACAACCACAGCAGCAGUUUUCAGGGAACUCCCACGUGCGUGCCAGCCGUAGAGCCGGCGGCUCUCCCAGCAAUCGUGCGGACAAAAGCACUUGAGGUUGAGGACAAUUGGGCUGUAGAUCAGCAGGGAGCUUCACCGAGCCCAAAUUGCAAUCUCUUCCAUCAAACCUGAGGAUCAGACGAUGGCGCUCUCAUCCGCCAUCGGUGAAUCGACUCAGAUGGAUGAGAGUCAUCGCCUUCUGCUUGCUUAUUAUCUUGCCUUGGAUCCACGGCGCAAGACAAACACCAAGUAGAGUAGCACUCAUCCUCAACAGCUUCUUGCUCUAAAGGCCAAAGGAUGGAGGUAGCUAUCAUAUGAUGCUCAUCGGAGGACUCAUCAACUAGCUCGAUUUCCUUGUUAUUCCGACAGAAGCAAACAACAAUAGCCAGCUCUCCAUGGACGCAAAUAACAAACUGGAGCAUAGCAGAAGCGCAACAGGCCACGAAGUCCACUGCAGCCAAACCUGGAUUCCGGCCUCGACAAGAUCGACGAGCAGCAUCGCCGGGCGCCGAGUCACAGCAACUCCACGCGCAGUCGGCAGGUGGAACCACGGGCACAAAACCAACACUGCAUCUCCCAGUACCGGCGACAACCAAGAACUCGGAGAUGCACAAACACCAAAGAAAAAAGAGGGGAAGAACAGAUCUGAGAAAACUACUGCGAGGCCUUCUCCUCACCACACCCCCACCACCACGGCGGCGAUCUAGAGAGGAAAAGCUCGGAGCAGCAGAUCUGCAGGGAGCUUAUUUGCUAGGCCAUCUUGCUGAGGAAGAAGAACGGGAAGGCCAUCACCAGCGAUCUUGCGGGUGAGAGCCUCACCGUCUUCAAUCCCGAGCUUGUUGCCACCGGAGCUCCAAACCAGCAACCUCCAGACGACCGACGGCAUCACGCCACUGUACAUCGCACAUACCCUCCUCCCCCUCCCACUCCGGUCGGCGGCGCCGGUGGAGGAGAGAGGAAGGAGGGCAGGCGUCUCCAACCGACGGAGGGCGAACAAGGGAAACGAGAAGUUUCGGGAGUCUCGAAGAGCGGUGGGGAAAAGUAAGUUGUGUACUGCUCCCUCUAUUUCUCAAAGCUUUUGGACAAUUUUGUCCAUGGCUGGCCUGCGCGCAUGCACACCUCUUCGCAUUCUUUAUUCUUUUGCGCUGGAC
rnacentral:lncRNA from 1 species